UAUUAAAUAUUUCAUUCAUUUGUACUAUUACAAACUAGCAGGACUAAUGGAAUAACUAGACAUUGAUAUUGACUUGCCACGUGUAUCUUAGUUUGUAACCGUAGAAAUGAAUGAAGUUUUUAAUA
rfam:Gossypium raimondii Chr05_contig_1338, whole genome shotgun sequence.